GGACAGUGAGCUGCCAUUCUCUUCUCCAGGUGAAAUUAUCUCCCUUAAGAUGGAAAUUAAUGAACUUCUGUCUGGAGGUAAGAUCCAAAAAUAGCUAAUGUUCUCUCUAAUAUUCUUGCACGGGGAAAUCUGGAACCAUUGGUUCCUCUUCUGUGCAUGAAAGUUUAUACGAAACCUUCUGCAUCAGAAAGUUCUUCACAUGAAGUAGUUGGAGAAUGAUCUUUAGGCAUUCUUA
rnacentral:lncRNA from 1 species